rnacentral:tRNA from 1 species
GGGGGAUUAACUCAGCGGGGAGAGUGCUAUCUUCACACGGUAGAAGUCGUUGGUUCGAAUCCAACAUUCCCCACCA